AGGAUGAACGCUGGCGGCAUGCCUAACACAUGCAAGUCGAACGGUCCUUUUAGGACAGUGGCGGACGGGUGAGUAACACGUUGGUACCUUCCCCGGAGUGGGGGAUAAUUCGCCGAAAGGCGGACUAAUACCCCAUGGUCUUGCACUUGUUGCAAGUAAAGAUUUAUUGCUCUGGGAUGGGCCUGCGGUUGAUUAGCUUGUUGGUGAGGUAAUGGCUCACCAAGGCGACGAUUAAUAGCUGGAUCGAGAGGUUGACCAGCCACACUGGGACUGAGAUACGGCCCAGACUCCUACGGGAGGCAGCAGUGAGGAAUUUUCCGCAAUGGGCGAAAGCCUGACGGAGCAAUGCCGCGUGAAGGAGAAGCCUUUCGGGGUGUAAACUUCUUUUAUCAGGGAAGAAGACAUGACGGUACCUGAUGAAUAAGCAUCGGCUAACUACGUGCCAGCAGCCGC
rnacentral:rRNA from 1 species